rnacentral:rRNA from 1 species
UACAGAGGUGGCAAGCGUUGUUCGGAAUUACUGGGCGUAAAGGGCUCGUAGGCGGCCAACUAAGUCAGACGUGAAAUCCCUCGGCUUAACCGGGGAACUGCGUCUGAUACUGGAUGGCUUGAGUUUGGGAGAGGGAUGCGGAAUUCCAGGUGUAGCGGUGAAAUGCGUAGAUAUCUGGAGGAACACCGGUGGCGAAGGCGGCAUCCUGGACCAACACUGACGCUGAGUGAGCGAAAGCCAGGGGAGCAAACGGG